UACAGAGGGGGCAAGCGUUGUUCGGAAUUACUGGGCGUAAAGGGCGCGUAGGCGGCCUGUUAAGUCGGACGUGAAAUCCCUCGGCUCAACCGGGGAACUGCGUCCGAUACUGGCGGGCUUGAAUUCGGGAGAGGGAUGUGGAAUUCCAGGUGUAGCGGUGAAAUGCGUAGAUAUCUGGAGGAACACCGGUGGCGAAGGCGGCAUCCUGGACCGAGAUUGACGCUGAGGCGCGAAAGCCAGGGGAGCAAACGGG
rnacentral:rRNA from 1 species